UAGUAGCUGACAAAGGCUCACUAAUCCAAAUUGACAAAGUCUAUGAGCUCAAACGCUUUCGUGUUGCUCCAUCCAGAAACUAUUACAAACCUGUUGACAACAGUAUGAUGAUACAAUUCACUCUUUACACUCAAGCAAAGUUAGUCCAAGAUCCACCACCCACCUUUCCAAGAUACGCCUACAAACUCACAUCUUUCGAAAAUAUAGGCAACAAUGUUGACAACAAAACGUACUUGAUUGAUGUUCUAGGAAUCUUGACAGAAAUUGGAUCUUUACACCAUGUUGGUUACAACAACUCAAAUAUCAUCAGAGACAUAUUUCUCAAGGACAUAAACAAUACCUCUACAAAAGUGACGCUUUGGGGACACCAAGCAUCUAGCUUCUCUGUCGACAACAACUGCGACGAGAAUGAUAACAAACCUGUUGUCGUACUAUUUGUUGGAUGCCUUGCUAAACGAUUCAAAGGAGAAGCAUAUCUAAGUGCCACGGCAGCAUGUACAUGGUAUUUCAACCCAGACAUUCCUGAAGCCCAGGUGUAUUACAGCAAGUUGGUAAACACUAAGCUUCAAAUGAUACGCCCUGAAGCGACUGAGCAAGAAUUCCAGGCUUCUCAAACACUCAACAUCGAAGACAAGACCAUUGAAGAACUACUUCAGCUAGAUCCGGAUAUGUUCCCUCAACAAGGUUUCAAAUGCACUGUCACUAUAUCACGCCUCGUACAAGAUGGUAGAUGGUGGUUCCCAUCCUGUAUCAAGUGCAACAAGUCUUCAUCCUAGACAUCUACUGGGUACCAAUGUACAUCGUGCAAUGGGACAGAAACUGAGUUCAGAUAUAAACUCAGCUUCAUUGCCACUGAUGGAACAUCCGAAGCAGAAUUCUUUUGCUUUGAUACUAUAGCUAAACGAAUAGUAGGAAAAUCUUGUCAAACCCUUUUUAGCACAUCAGAUGUUUCUCGGGGUCCUCCUCCAGACCUAGCUGCCAUUGUCUCCCUCAAAUUCACAUUUGCAGUUACCAUCAACAUGUCUGCAUUCUCUGUCACAAAUCGAGUCUUUUCUAUCCUUUCUGUCCUAACAAAUCAUGGAAGACAAGCAUCGAUACCAUGUGCCACAGAAAACCUUUCCCAACAACAGAUGUUAACACAGGACAACAUACUUGAUGUCAUAACCACACAAGAAUCUCCAGCAACAUCGUUUGCCAAACUAUCCACUUCUACCAAACAAGAAAAUGUGCCACGACGCAGACUUACGUAUUCUGAGAUGCUACAGGACACAAAUGUUGAUGAACAGGUUUCAGCUGAGCUCAAUAAAGACAGCCUCGCGUCACCUCCUA
rnacentral:misc_RNA from 1 species